CAUUUAUGCGUAUCCUCCCAUGUUGCUUUCCCAGGCCAGCGGCCACUGCUGCCAGCCAUGCCGUUUUUCGGUUACAUGGUUGAGGUGCUUGGGGAAGGGCUAAUUAUCAAACUUUACUUCACCUUAUUGUCUGAGAAGGCCAUGUGCCGUAAUCUUUAAACAUGUUAAAACUUUCAACAACGGAUCUCUUGGCUCUCGCAUCGAUGAAGAACGCAGCGAAAUGCGAUAAGUAAUGUGAAUUGCAGAAUUCAGUGAAUCAUCGAAUCUUUGAACGCACAUUGCGCCCUUUGGUAUUCCUUAGGGCAUGCCUGUUCGAGCGUCGCAAAAACCCAGAUCACCUAGAGUGUGGUAUUGGCAGAAGUGGCCGGAGCUAUCAGGGCUGCUGCCACUCUGCUGGAAUGAAUAGGCUGGAAAAGUAGAUCAUAGCAACAGACUUUCACAGUAUUUUGAAAUGCUAAAUUAGUUUGAAGCUGAUCGGAACCUAAGCCAUUUGACCCCCAUCCUGCGUAAAGCAGUAA
rnacentral:rRNA from 1 species